GAGUUUGAUUCUGGCUCAGAUUGAACGCUGGCGGCAUGCCUUACACAUGCAAGUCGAACGGCAGCGGGCCCUUCGGGGUGCCGGCAAGUGGCGAACGGGUGAGUAACACAUCGAACGUACCCUGUGGUGGGGGAUAACCCGUCGAAAGACGGGCUAAUACCGCAUAAGCUCUGCGGAGGAAAGCGGGGGACCGUCAAGUCCUCGCGCCACAGGAGCGGCCGAUGUCCGAUUAGCUAGUUGGUAGGGUAAAGGCCUACCAAGGCGACGAUCGGUAGCGGGUCUGAGAGGACGGCCCGCCACACUGGGACUGAGACACGGCCCAGACUCCUACGGGAGGCAGCAGUGGGGAGUCUUGGACAAUGGGGGAAACCCUGAUCCAGCAAUGCCGCGUGGGUGAAGAAGGCCUUCGGGUUGUAAAGCCCUUUUGGCAGGGAAGAAAUCGGCUAGGUGAAUAAUCUAGCUGGAUGACGGUACCUGCAGAAAAAGCACCGGCUAACUACGUGCCAGCAGCCGCGGUAAUACGU
rnacentral:rRNA from 1 species